rnacentral:misc_RNA from 1 species
UUCUGAGCUUCCUGUAGAAUC